rnacentral:rRNA from 1 species
GCGGAGGAAAAGAAACUAACAAGGAUUCCCUUAGUAACGGCGAGUGAAGCGGGAAGAGCUCAAAUUUGAAAUCUUCAAGGUUCUACCUUGACGAAUUGUAGUUUAAAGAAGUGUUUUCUGUUAGAUGAGUAGCAAAAGUUCCUUGGAAUGGGACAUCAUAGAGGGUGAGAAUCCCGUAUUUGGUUAUUCAUUCUAGCUUUGUGAUACACUUUCAAAGAGUCGGAUUGUUUGGGAAUGCAGUCCAAAAUGGGUGGUAAAUUUCAUCUAAAGCUAAAUAUUGGCGAGAGACCGAUAGCGAACAAGUACCGUGAGGGAAAGAUGAAAAGAACUUUGAAAAGAGAGUUAAACAGUACGUGAAAUUGUCAAAAGGGAAGCGUUUGACACCAGUGUUGUUUUUCCGAAAAUCAAUUACGAAUGGCUUGAUUUUGUGUUGUAUUGACCUUAUCAGCUUUCUGCACUUUUUUCGAGUCUUUCUUAAUGCACUUUUCGGUUAACAAGUCAACAUCAAUUUCUUUUGUUGUAAAAGAGUAUUCGGAAGGUGGCUUUCUUUUCGGAGAAAGUGUUUAUAGCCCUAUACUUCUACAAUCGGAGAGAUUGAGGUCUGCAGCGUAGAUCCUUCGGGGUUAGAUACACUUGUGCUAAGUUGUAGCUUUUCAUAGACAACUUGUUGACUAUGUUUAGUCAUGCGGCUUACUCGCUUGUGCUAUUU